rnacentral:lncRNA from 1 species
CCAGGAUUCCUCCUAAGCCGUGUCCCAUCUGUGCGGGACCCCACUGAAAAUCGGACUGUUCAACUUACCUGGCAGCCACUCCCAGAGCCCCUGGAACUCUGGCCCAAGGAUCUCUGAUUGACUCCUUCUUGGCUUACCGGCUGAAGACUGACGCUGCCUGAUCGCCUCGGAAGCCCCGUAGACCAUCACGGACGCCGAGCUUUAGGUCACUACUGAGAGAUCAGGAAAAAAACAGCUCUCCAAGAUUGUCCCAAGGACCCCCUGCACCUGCAAGUAUCCAACAAGUCCAUCAGCCCUUGGACUACUGUUGCAUGAAUGAGACAGACAUGAGAAGACUUGAGUCUCCAUGUGGUCUUUCUCAGUCACCUUGGGGCCCCACCAAGUGUUGGUGUUUUUACCAUUUGCUCCUUGACAGAAAGAAUAGGAAGUUCAUGAAGGUUAAUGUGUCAUAAGGCAUGAGAACACUGGAAGGUUGAAUGAAUCACUUGCUUUGGAGGCCUUUGAAAACAAAAACAAAAUGGCAACAAUUAAAAAC